AAGUCAAAAAAAUAUUUCAAUAGUUAUUUAACUAACUAAAUAAAAAUUAAUAUUUAAAAAAAAUAAUUUUUCAAAUUGUUUUUUGUUUUUUUUUGUUUGUAUAACCUAACCCUAUCAACAAAAAUAUCUAAUAGCAAUGGUGGCUCCGGUAGUUAUGGUUAACCAAUGUGGUGGGUGCGACCAGUGUGGCUGUAAGGGUGGCAGCUGUUCAUGCGAUUGUUGCAAAUAAAAUAUCUAACCAACCAAGCAAACAAACAAAAAUUAUUAAAAUGAUAAUGAAACUAUUGAUAACCAUGGUCAAUUUUUAUUCAUAUAAUAAUUUCAAAAUUUUAAUUAUUAUGUAUAAUCAAUUUAAUUAAUUAAUCUUAUUUUUUAAUUUAAUCAAUUAUGUUAAAUCUAAAAAUUUAUUUUCAAUAAAAAAUUAUUUUUUUGCAAAUUUA